UACCAGCACCCCCGAGUGGUCGGGACGAUUAUUGGGCCUAAAGCAUCCGUAGCCGGCCUUACAAGUCCUCCGUUAAAUCCAGCUGCUUAACAGAUGGGCUGCGGAGGAUACUAUAAGACUAGGAGGCAGGAGAGGCAAGCGGUACUCAGUGGGUAGGGGUAAAAUCCGUUGAUCCAUUGAAGACCACCAGUGGCGAAGGCGGCUUGCCAGAAUGCGCUCGACGGUGAGGGAUGAAAGCUGGGGGGAGCAAACCGG
rnacentral:rRNA from 1 species